rnacentral:rRNA from 1 species
GUGAAGUUUCGGAUCGCUGUGAUGCGGGCGGUUCGCCGCCCGUGACUCUGCGAGAAGUCCAUUGAACCUUAUCAUUUAGAGGAAGGAGAAGUCGUAACAAGGUUUCCGUAGGUGAACCUGCGGAAGGAUCAUUGUCGAGACCGAAAUAUAUCGAGCGAUUCGGAGAACCCGUGAACGAGCGGUGGCGACUGCCGUCGCGUAACAGCCGUCCCAGUCGGCGGCCUCGUCUUAGAUCGGGGCCACGAUGAGGGGCGGAUGAAACUAAAACCGGCGCAGCCACGCGCCAAGGGAAUAUAAAGAGACACGAGCCCCGCAUCGGGUUCGGUGGCGUGGAGUGCUGUUGCACACCACACGGAUUGAAAUGACUCUCGGCAAUGGAUAUCUCGGCUCUCGCAUCGAUGAAGAGCGCAGCGAAAUGCGAUACGUGGUGCGAAUUGCAGAAUCCCGCGAACCAUCGAGAAUUUGAACGCAAGUUGCGCCCGAGGCCAGCUGGCCAAGGGCACGUCCGCCUGGGCGUCAAGCGUUGCGUCGCUCCGUGCCAACUCCAUCCCACCCGAUGGGUGUGUCGGCGGGAGGCUCGGAUGUGCAGAGUGGCUCGCCGUGCCCGUCGGUGCGGCGGGCUGAAGAUCGGGUGAUCGUCUCAUUGGCCACGAACAAUAAGGGGUGGAUGAAAGUUGUGCCUGUGUUGUAUCGUGUCGGCCCGAGAAUAGGUUACACCUUGUUUAUGAACCCAGCCCAAGCGUCGAUCCACCGACGGCGGCUUGGAAUGCGACCCCAGGAUGGGCGAGGCCACCCGCUGAGUUUAAGCAUAUCAAUAAGCGGAGGAGAAGAAACUUACGAGGAUUCCCCUAGUAACGGCGAGCGAAC